GAUGAACGCUGGCGGCGUGCUUAACACAUGCAAGUCGAACGAUGAUCCCAGCUUGCUGGGGGAUUAGUGGCGAACGGGUGAGUAACACGUGAGUAACCUGCCCUUGACUCUGGGAUAAGCCUGGGAAACUGGGUCUAAUACCGGAUAUGACUCCUCAUCGCAUGGUGGGGGGUGGAAAGCUUUUGUGGUUUUGGAUGGACUCGCGGCCUAUCAGCUUGUUGGUGGGGUAAUGGCCUACCAAGGCGACGACGGGUAGCCGGCCUGAGAGGGUGACCGGCCACACUGGGACUGAGACACGGCCCAGACUCCUACGGGAGGCAGCAGUGGGGAAUAUUGCACAAUGGGCGCAAGCCUGAUGCAGCGACGCCGCGUGAGGGAUGACGGCCUUCGGGUUGUAAACCUCUUUCAGUAGGGAAGAAGCGUAAGUGACGGUAC
rnacentral:rRNA from 1 species